rnacentral:lncRNA from 1 species
AUGGGUGUGAUGAACCUGUGUGGAAACCUAUAUGACACCUGGUGUACAGUUCUUCUAAAUGAAGAGGAUGCGAUGGAUCCUUCUAAUUGUCAACUUGGCAUAAUCUGGAAUCACAGGAAGGACAAAAAAAUGAAAUUUAAAGUGAAUGUGCUUGGAUGGGGUAGUCCACAGAAUACCAAGUUUUUUUUUAGAGACAUGUAUUCCUGUCUCUGGGAUUAAAAGUUUUUUCUAAAUGGCUGGAGCUAAUUUAGUUUGGUGGAAUCUUGGCACAAGAUCAUUACUUCCUUAAUUCAAUUUAAUUACCUUCAAGGCAGGAUUCAGCUCCAUUUCAUUGGAUAACUUUAAUACUCGAAUCAUGUAUUUUGUACUUUUCCUCUCUCAACUUCCCUUUUUUCAUUAAAGUGGUCUACAUGAGACUUAACCC